GCCAAAAACCUAGCCCAAGUCGUCAUAAAUUUCACCAAACCACUUCCUCUAUCUUAAUAAACCAUUCCAAUAUUCUAGUAAAGGAGAUUGAAAAAUUUAUUGGAGCUAUAACAAUAGUACCGCAAGGGAACGGUGAAAUAUAAAAUGAAAAAUUUUUAAGCAAUAAAAAGUAAAGAUUACCCCUUGUACCUUUUGCAUCAUGGUUUAACUAGUUUAAUCAAGCAAAACGUGUUUAAGUUUGACUUCCCGAAACUAAGUGAGCUACUUCAAGGCAGCUGAAAUGAGCGAACCCGUCUCUGUAGCAAAAGAGUGGGAUGACCUUCAAGUAGCGGUGAUAGACCUAACGAACUUAGUGAUAGCUGGUUACUCAAGAAAUGGAUCUAAGUCCAACCUGAAAUUCAUAACAGUUUACCAAAACAAUUACCAAAUUUUCAGUGUAAUUCAAAUAAGGUACAGCCUAUUUGAAACAGGAUACAACCUAGACUAAUGGAUAAGCGGCUCAAUUUGCAAUCAAGUGGGCCUAAAAGCAGCCAUCUUCUAAAAAGCGUCAAAGCUUAAUUGUUUUAAUGCCUAAUUUCACAAGCACAACCCAAUCCUUUAAUAGUACUGAGUAAUUCUAUAUGCUUAUAGAAAAUUUUAUGUUGAAACUAGUAACAAGAAGAAGACCUUCUCUUUAAUGUAAGUGUACAUCAGAAAGGACAAACCACUGAUUUUUAACAUUAUUGAACCUAAAGUAGAAACCCACCAAGAAAAGCCUACUUCCACGUAUGUUAAUCUAACACAAGAACAUUUCAAGAAAGAUUAAAAGAAAAAGAAGGAACUCGCCUCUUGCUACAAUAUAAGAGGUCCAGCCUGCCCAGUGACUCUGUUCAACGGCCGCGGUAUCCUAACCGUGCGAAGGUAGCGUAAUCACUUGUUCUUUAAAUGUGGACUAGUAUGAAUGGCACCACGAAGGUUAUACUGUCUCCUUUUUUUAAUCAAUGAAACUAAUCUUCCCGUGAAGAAGCGGGAAUAGAACUAUAAGACGAGAAGACCCUAUGGAGCUUUAAACAACACAGCAUUUGUCUAAAAAUUAACCUAUUUCAGAAAACCAACUCUUCAAACAAUGUGACUGUAAGUUUUCGGUUGGGGUGACCACGGAGCAUAAUACAACCUCCAUGUUGAAAGAAUUUUUUUCUAAACUAAGAAAUACCAAUCAAAAUAUCAACAUAUUGACAUCCAUUGACCCAAUAUACUUGACCAACGAUCCAAGUUACCCUAGGGAUAACAGCGCAAUCCACUUCAAGAGCUCCUAUCGACAAGUGGGUUUACGACCUCGAUGUUGGAUCAGGGUAUCCCAGUGGUGCAGCCGCUACUAAAGGUUCGUUUGUUCAACGAUUAAAACCCUACGUGAUCUGAGU
rnacentral:rRNA from 1 species